UUUGGCAUUCGAUUUGGUGUGUUUUCUAAUAACGUGUGUGUGUGUGUGUGUGUGUGGUAAACAGGUGUGUGUGUUUUGAGCAGCAGACUGAUGUCUCAGUGGUGUACGCCACUCUCCACAUGGGGCUGGACGGGCUUCUCUCCUCUUCAGCGUGGUCGGAGGCUGCCUCCUUCUCUACUCCCACCACUCAGCAGUUCACUGACCCAGAGCCUGAGGGCCACAACUGCUAUGAGGGCUGGGAGGAGGACCUGCUGCCUGAGGAGAGGGAGGUUCCUCUGCUAAAAGAGUGGAGGACAUCGCCCUGAGGCUCGUCUCCUUGCGCCAGGCCUUCACUGUGAGUGGACCCACUGUUCUUUUUGUCUCUAUGACUUCUUGUUCUGUCUCCAAGAGGAAGAGGUCUCACCCUAACUCUUCCCUCUUCCCUAGACCCUGCUUGGUUCCACCCUGAGCAGGAACCAUCUGUUUGUGGCGGGAAAGGUCCUCCUGGGCGGCCUUGUUCAGGCCAACCACAUGGACGAGGCCAAAUUCAUCCGUACCUAUAAUGACUUUGUGGACUACCUGAGUGACCCCUCCAAGCGGAAUGACAUUGCGAGGGAGCUGGCUGAGGCAAAGAUCCAUCAUGUGAACAUGAUAGAUGUCCUCUUUGAGCUGGUGCUGUUUAGGAUGAUGACAGCUCAGAAGUCCCUGAUGGUGCACCAUGGUGGGUUCGUGGAGCGUCUGUACGCUCUCCUGUACUCCUUCCUGCCCACUGCUGCCAACAUGGAGCCAGAGGCUGAUAGAUACCUACUGCUGCUCAAUGUAAGAGUCAAGAGGUUACUUCCUGUUUACUUCCAUAUUCUUAGUGUACUUCCUUUUGACUUCCUUAUUCAUGGUUAACCAGGUUUCAAUGCCAUUUUAGGGGGAGUAUUUCUAAUUGUCUCUCUCCUCUUGAUAAGCUAGUAACUCAGAUCCCAUUUUCUAUGUGUUGUGUGGUGUUCUCUUCAGGGUGGACUGAUGGCUCUGCUAGAUGACAUGUUUGGCCAGCAGCUGGCCUGGUACUUUAACCCAGAGUCUCUGGUCACUGAGCUCUCCACCCUCCUGGAGUACCACUUGGAGAACCUCAUGGCCAGGCAUGUAGUCCUACUGCAGGGACCAUACUCCUUUCUCCUUCUCUCUCUCUUUUGAAGGAAUUGAGGACUUGAAGUGCUUGUUGAACCCUGAUUAGUUAACACCCAUUAAUUUAAUGUAUUCUCUGUUUUCUCUCCCCACAGAUCUUGUGACACUUUGCCACCCAACAGGAUCUAGACACCAAUGCACUACAUUACUUUG
rnacentral:lncRNA from 1 species